CGUGCAGGCGGUCGGGUAAGUCAGAUGUGAAAGCCUUUCGCUUAACGAGAGAAGUGCAUUUGAAACUGCUCGGCUAGAGUACGGGAGAGGAGAGUGGAAUUCCCGGUGUAGAGGUGAAAUUCGUAGAUAUCGGGAGGAACACCAGUGGCGAAGGCGGCUCUCUGGUCCGAUACUGACGCUGAGACGCGAAAGCGUGGGGAGCAAACAGGAUUAGAUACCCUGGUAGUCCACGCCGUAAACGAUGGGCACUAGGUGUAGGAGGUAUUGACCCCUUCUGUGCCGAAGCUAACGCAUUAAGUGCCCCGCCUGGGGAGUACGGCCGCAAGGCUAAA
rnacentral:rRNA from 1 species